rnacentral:snoRNA from 1 species
AGCCUAUGAGUUGGGCAUUUAAGUAAGAGCUUCUUGAAUCUCACCCAUGUUUCAUGGAGUGGUUCCCCUUCCCGUUGCUUAAACCUUGAAUUUCAUCUCUAAGCUU